rnacentral:lncRNA from 10 species
AGGUUAAGGGAGGGGGAAUGGUGACUAAAACUCAUGGCUGAGGACAAAAGCACCCAAUAUGCUAAGCUGGAGGCUCUACCAGCAUAGAUUCAGCACAGCAAAUCAGAGUAUUUGGCUGUCACAUGCACUGUAGUAUUAAAAGUCUACUAUACUUAGUCUACUAUACUUUUGCUUGUAAUCUGUAUGGCUUUGCUAAGAUAACCAACAUUUUUCACCAUUAAAUAAUUUCGGUAUUUAGCCUUGACUAUGUUUUACAUGAAUUAUCUCUUUGAUUUUCAUAAGCAAUCUUAAAGGACAGGGAGUAAAUUCUGUUGGUUGUUACUAAAAACUUUGACUAGCACAACCUGUAAAAUCUGAACUUGUAGAUGGUGAAAUUGCUGUAUUUCAAGUAUAUACAUCUUAGUAUUAUUCAUAUAACCAGUUCGAUGAAUUUGAUGAAAGGAAGAGAAAUAUGUAACAUCCAGUGUCAAAACCCAGAAUAGCUAGAUAACACCUCUUUGCAUUAUAAGAUGAAGCCUGGGAUAUUUUCUUUAUAAAGUAAGUUCUAUAUUUAUUCGUUUGUUGAAAAAUGCAUUAACUCUUGGCAGAGGUUGGCUUGAGAUGUUUUGUAUGGUUGCAUAUUGAGAUACAAAUAGUUUUAGAUUUCAGAAACCAGUAAAAUUAUAAGCAACACACUAUAAAUGAACAUCUACUGUUAGCAUGAUUUCAUAAAAGAAAAGGUCUUUUUAACAUCAAAAAGGGAAAACAUAAUGGCAUAAUCUCAGAAUUAAACAAGGCCAUUUAAUUUGAAUACAUUUAUCUCCCAAAAUGUUACUUCAUUUCCCUUCAUUUUCUUAUUUCACAAGAGCAUGGUGAACACUUCAUUAAGAACUAAUAUUUAGGAGCCAGUAGUAUAGAGAAGGAAGUUGAACCCCAUGUGGCUCAGACAAAGGAUCUUAAAGGUUAAAUGUUAAGAACCAUUUAUAUUGAAGAUCAAUCAGAAAAGAUGAAUCAUUUCUGGUUUUAUAAUGGGAUUUAUUUGCACAGAGAUUUUCGGGAAUCCACUGUGCAAAGAGAGGUGCAGCUGCAUCUUUUUCAUGCAUAUCCCUAUUGGCAGCAGAAGAGCACAGAUACGUAGAUACCAAUUACCUUAGUCUAUAAUAGCAAAUGAUGUGCCCUUCUUAAUUUCUUCUUGGAAAAGCUUGCUACGAGUGCCAUGUUAUUGCAUUCUCCUAACACAUCUCUGAAUUCUAGAUGUACAAUGCUGAGUGCCACCCAGCGCUUUGUAAUGCUUUCUUCACAGCUGGUUAUUUUCAGCUUCAUUCUUCACGUUUGUUUUAGCUCUCAGACAUGUCAACAUGUUCCCUUCAGCCCUGCAUAUCAUAAUAGAUCUCUCUGAAAGUGACAAAAAUAUUCUCAUAAAAAAUUUCUGUGCAAAAUUAUAACACCACACUUUAAAAUAAAUGCUGUCUUGACUGGUUACCAUAUUUCCAGAAAUAUUCUAAAAUAGUUAUCUUCACGCCCCAAUUUCCUCAUUUGGCUUCGAAGUACUUUGUUCUCUGACCUUGUGAAGAAAACGAUGGCUUCACAUAUGCUUCAUUCUUCUUUGGGGAAGAGACAGCGUCGUUACUUUUUGAGCAUCAAAGUGAUACAUGAAUUGCCAUUAGGGAGAGCAGCAUAUUCUCCCAGGACUCAAAUCUUCCCUGAUACCUUAGAAAGUGACAUUCAUUUCUACAGGUCAUGAGAGUAGCUUUUACCUCAUAACAUUUUAUGGGGUCAGUGCAUCUGAAUAACACAAGACUAAGAGGAAGAAAAUGGAAUGCAAAAUGUUAUCAGUGCCAUCCAUGUUCAACACAGUGAUUACAGAUACAAAAGGGGAGUGGGUGGGAGCCAUAGAAAGGGCAGUCCACAGGGACAGAAGGCCUAUGGUGAAAAACUACUGCCUCUUUGGGACUAAAUAUCACUAUGUGGUGCAGCAUUUUGUGAGAAAAGCUAAUUUGAGCAGCAUUUUUUUAUCCUGAAAUUUUGCUAUGGUUUUUUUUUUUUUUUUUUGUCUUAUUCUCUUUCUUUCCAAAAAUACAUUUUGGUCAGUCUUUUGAAAAUAAUCUAAGUUUGCAAGGAAUGUAAUGUUAUUUCAUUGAAAGAAAGUAUCUCUAUUCCCAAAUGUCUAUGUUUAUAGGCUGCACUGUAUUUACUAGGGAAGAGAUUUGUAUCGUAAUUGAAAUAGACUCAUAAUAAUUUCCUGGAGAUGAUAACUGCAUGGUCACAGAUUUUUAGGACCCUGCUAUAUAUGUGUAUACAUAGCUACAUAUAUUUUAGGACCCUGCUAUAUAUGUGUAUAUAUAGCUAUAUAUAUUUUAGGACCCUGCUAUAUAUGUGUAUGUAUGCAUAUGUCUGUGUGUGCCUAUAUACAUAUGUAUAUAUAUUACAUGCAUACACAUAGAUUAACAUUUUAAAAGUACAUAUACUUUAUAUGCAUAUGUAUAUAUGUGUACAUAUAUAUUACAUGCAUACAC